rnacentral:rRNA from 1 species
ACUCCCAACCCCUGGUGAACAUACCAUUUGUUGCCUCGGCGGUGCCUGCUUCGGCAGCCCGCCAGAGGACCCAAACCCUUGAUUUUAUACAGUAUCUUCUGAGUAAAUGAUUAAAUAAAUCAAAACUUUCAACAACGGAUCUCUUGGUUCUGGCAUCGAUGAAGAACGCAGCGAAAUGCGAUAAGUAAUGUGAAUUGCAGAAUUCAGUGAAUCAUCGAAUCUUUGAACGCACAUUGCGCCCGCCAGUAUUCUGGCGGGCAUGCCUGUUCGAGCGUCAUUUCAACCCUCAAGCCCCCGGGCUUGGUGUUGGAGAUCGGCGUGCCCUCCGGGGCGCGCCGGCUCCCAAAUAUAGUGGCGGUCUCGCUGUAGCUUCCUCUGCGUAGUAGCACACCUCGCACUGGAAAACAGCGUGGCCACGCCGUUAAACCCCCCACUUCUGAAAGGUUGACCUCGGAUCAGGUAGGAAUACCCGCUGAACUUAAGCAUAUCAAUAG